rnacentral:rRNA from 1 species
AUUGAACGCUAGCGGGAUGCUUUACACAUGCAAGUCGAACGGAGUGGCGGACGGGUGAGUAAUAUAUCGGAACGUGCCCAGUAGCGGGGGAUAACUACUCGAAACAGUGGCUAAUACCGCAUACUAUCAGAGCGGCCCAUAUCGGAUUAGCUAGUUGGUGGGGUAAAGGCUCACCAAGGCAACGAUCCCUAGCUGGUUUGAGAGGAUGACCAGCCACACUGGGACUGAGACACGGCCCAGACUCCGACGGGAGGCAGCAGUGGGGAAUUUUGGACAAUGGGCGAAACCCUGAUCCAGCCAUCCCGCGUGUAUGAUGAAGGCCUUCGGGUUGUAAAGUACUUUCGGCAGAGAAGCGUUAUCCGCAGAAGAAGCACCGGCUAACUCCGUGCCAGCAGCCGCGGUAAUAC